GGGCGUCCUGCGAGGCUUUCAGGCUGCUGAGCCUGUUCCUUGGCUGGGGUCGGUAGGGCUUGGAGCCAGCCGUUCAAAGUCACCCCUGGGAAGCGCCCGCAACCCUUGGGGACGCCUCUCCUCCGGCUGCCCCCCUUCCCUGGAAUCCAGGUGUCACUGGGGCCGGGGAGGGGCUAGGAGCUCGGAUUUCUGCUUUGGGAAGUUUUUACAAGCCCACCCUCCCCCUGCCUUGGUUCCCCGAGCCAAGAAUUUCAGAAAUCCGGGGCACAAAAACGCCAGUGUUUGCGGUCAAGGAUUAAAGGCGCGAGGUGUCUUUAUUUAAUCUGCUCCGCCCUGCUCGGGUUUGCACGAGAAACCAAGCCUGGGAGCGACGGUCCACGCAAGCGGAGACACAGGCAAGUCGCGUGAGAGCACUUUUCUGAGCCCGAGUUGCUUGUCUUUUAUCGCCCGUGAGGAGGUAAAGAAAGGCAGACCUCUCCGGUGCACAAAUAAAGGAGCCGUGUUGUGACUUGCCGGCUCUGAGAUUGGGAGGCAGAAAAUAAAUACAAACCGCGACCUCAGUCCUGACCGUACCUCUAGCAGCCCCUCUGCUCCUGGGAGCUGUAAAUGCUUAAGUAAAUAAACCGCAAACCAGAAAAAUAAGGGCUUAGGAAAGAGCCGCUCACACAGAGAUGCGCAUCCAGGCGGGGCGCUCUCCAAGAGCUCCGAAUGGGGCAAGGUGGGUUUCACCCGCUGCCAAGUAAUGCCUGGGCUCCCGGGCUACACGCUGCUUAGGGCUCCGGCUUUUGCAAGGAGGGGAAGAGCUAAGCCCGGAGGCAGUCAGCCGACUGCCCUGUCUUGCCUCAAAUGACGUAUAUUCAUUCCUCAAACGUUUCCUGAGUGUUUACUAGGUGCCAGGCGCUGGGGCAUAGUGGUGAGCCAAACGCAUUAUAGCAUCCCAGACAGGCACUUCCUGACGCCGCCUAAAGAUCUGUUAUAACAAUAGUAAUAAUAAUGAUAAUAAUCAAUGGGGAGGCUGAUUUUAUUGAGCCCAGACCACAUGCAGUUUUCAUGCGUCAUGCUAUUGAGUUUUACCAACUGUAGGUAUAUUUAUUAUAUCUAUUUGGCAGGUGCACAAUCCAGGGCUCAGAGAAAUCAGGUAACUUCCCAAAUGACCCCUCGAGUUAAGUGGUACAGCCUGGACUCCCGUUCCAGACUCUACGUGUAUGAAACCCUUGUCUUUGGGGAAAUCCACCGCCAUUGCCUUAAAUAGCCUCUCUCCCCAUUUAGGAGCAGCCUCUGAGCCCUUGGGCAAGUCAUUUUCAUCUCUUUGCCCCAGUUUUGCCAUCUGAAGGAAAUUCUUAUUAGAAUAUGUCUACUUUUUAGCAGGAUUCCUUAAUAUAAAAUCGAGUCUCAUGAAACUUUAGGAACAAAUUAGAGGAGAAUCAUAGCUAAUAGUUAUUACUGACAUAAUAAUGCCAAAACGAAUCAUAAUUAUUGACACUUAUUGGGUGAAUGCCAUGUGUCAGGCAUUGGUCUAAACUCUUUCUGUAUAGCACCUAAUUAAAUCCUAUUAAGCCAUUUUUUACUUAUGAGAAAACUGAGGGGGGGCACAAAGCGAUUAAAUUACUUCCUCCAAAGUCACACAAAUAGCUGAGUCUUGAACCCUGGUCCUAAACUACUAGUCUCCGCUACCUCCCCAAUGUAAACAUGUGCACUGUAUUUGCCUGCUCAGAUAAGCAUUUAAUGUCAGUCCAGGAAGGGGCAAAGCUCUUGAAAUAGACAAAGUUUGUGUUCACGAUAUUCACUCCUGCCCUCCGUUCCCUGUCAGCAUUAUCCCCUGGUCACUGGACGCUGGGGUCUAGUGCCUAAUACGUUAAGCUGCUUCUCCCCAUCAUCAAGAAACUGCCGCAUCUGCCAUAUAAAGGAGAUGUUUCUCAUUCGCCCCCACUCAUCUCUUCCCCCAUGAAAACCUCUUCCAUUUUCAAAGGAUCUUCGGCUCUACUUUUCAAGCAAAUUCAACAAAUCAGUGUAUGCCUGUGUAACUGGUAAAUAGUGAAGGGUAAUUAUUUCAUGUGCUUCUAACUCAGAAACAAUGGAAUAUUAACAGCGGUUUUCUGAAGAUCCAGUUGGACAAUUUUCAUUUUCAUCAUAUAAUGGACAUUUAUCUCCUACCUGCAUUAUCCACUGUCUUCCCUCGGAGACCACAAAUUUCACUGAAGGCAGCAUCUAUGUCUUAUUCAUGCUUGUGCUCUCUACCUCCCCUGACCCAGAAGGACUUAUUCUUCUUUCUGCACAUUUUAGUAGAUGUGUUAAAAAAAAAAAAAAAAAGUUUGUUAAGAAGAUGUUUUAAUGGAAGGUGUGUCAGGCAUAUGGCAGGAUACAUGACCAUAUUUUUGGAGCAUGCAACACCUCGUAGCCCAUCUCUAUCAUAGCCUAUUUUCUCCGCCUGUAUGUAUGGAUAAUCCUAUUCAACAUUUUUAAGGUCUAGAAGCUGCUAGGUCACUAGAAAGUAAUUUUGCUAUGAUGUGAAGAGGUUCUCUAUGAUGAUGUAUGACUGAUAAAUUAUGAUGAUUAAUGUCAGAAUAUAAGGGUCACUGCCUAACUCAUUCUCUGUUAUCAGUAGAGGGAAAGGAGCUGCUUUCUCUUCACUAUUUUUUUCUAGAAGAAUUUUCUAUCCCUGUGUUUUCCAGUAUAGUGACUACUAGCCAUUUAGGCACGUAAGAUGUGGCUAGUUCUGAGAUGUGAAAUAGAUGUUAACACAUUGAAUUUCAAAGACUUAGUACAAAAAAAAGCAAAAUAUCUUAAUUUGUAUAGUGAUUACAUGUUGAAGUGGUAAUAUUUUGGAUAUUUGUGUUAAAUAAAAUAGAUUAUUAGAAUUUAUUUUACCUGCUUUUUCCUUUUUUAAUAUAGCUACUAGGAAAUUAAAAAUUACAUGUAUAGCUCAUAUCAUAUAUUAUGCAGCACUGAUCUAGAAAACCAAGAAUCUGAUUCCCAGGAUCACAAUUCGAGAUGAUGACCAGCCCAUUAAAAUGGCCAUUUAUGACUUUGCCCUUGAAAUGUUCAUGCAGGGAACUACGAGGGCUUUGCAAGGUCAGUACAGUAUCAUAGACUGAGCAGAAGUCUGAAGAAAGUCCAAAACUAGCACUUGAGCCUACCCCCAGGGAAGACCUACAAAUAGAAGCAGGUUUCAUCAGCAGUACACAGCUGAAAACUCUAACUGAAUUCAUCUGCCUAGAAGCCCACCUCAAAUGCUGCCCUGGUUAAGAGAGCAAGAUAAGCUGGAGAAAGGAGGGAUCGGAGAAAAUGGUUUUGACACCCAGCUGUACCAUUUAUAUCCUGUUUUGUUUUGUUUGAUAAAGUGAUACUAACAAUCC
rnacentral:lncRNA from 1 species